rnacentral:rRNA from 1 species
AUUAUGGCUCAGAUUGAACGCUGGCGGCGUGCUUAACACAUGCAAGUCGCGCGUGAAAGGACUUCGGUCCGAGUAAAGCGGCGCACGGGUGAGUAACGCGUGGAUGAUCUACCCAUGAGUUAGGAAUAACGGCUGGAAACGGUCGCUAAUACCAAAUACGCUCCGAUUUCAACUUCGGGGGAAAGGUGGCCUCUGCUUGCAAGCUACUGCUCAUGGAUGAGUCCGCGUCCCAUUAGCUAGUUGGUGGGGUAACGGCCCACCAAGGCGACGAUGGGUAGCCGGUCUGAGAGGAUGACCGGCCACACUGGGACUGGAACACGGCCCAGACUCCUACGGGAGGCAGCAGUGGGGAAUAUUGCGCAAUGGGCGAAAGCCUGACGCAGCGACGCCGCGUGAGGGAUGAAAGGUCCUCGGAUCGUAAACCUCUGUCAGGAGGGAAGAACCGCCACGGUGCUAAUCAGCCGUGGUCUGACGGUACCUCCAAAGGAAGCACCGGCUAACUCCGUGCCAGCAGCUGC